CGAGGAAUAUUGCACAAUGGACGCAAGUCUGAUGCAGUAACGCCGCGUGAGGGAAGAAGACCUUCGGGUUGUAAACCUCUUUUAUGGAGGACGAGUGAGGACGGUACUCUAGGAAUAAGUCUCGGCUAACUACGUGCCAGCAGCCGCGGUAAGACGUAGGAGGCGAGCGUUAUCCGGAUUCACUGGGCGUAAAGCGCAUGUAGGCGGUUCUGUAAGUCCGCGGUUAAAGCCCCCGGCUCAACUGGGGGAGGUCCGUGGAGACUAUAGGACUUGAGGGCAACAGAGGCACGUGGAACUCCCGGUGUAGCGGUGGAAUGCGUAGAGAUCGGGAAGAACACCAGUGGCGAAGGCGACGUGCUGGGUUGCAACUGACGCUGAGAUGCGAAAGUGUGGGGAGCAAACGGG
rnacentral:rRNA from 1 species